AAUAAUUUAAACGAGAAGAACUUAUAACAUGACUAAACGACAAGGCAACUCCUCUAUCCUCUCUCUAUGAGCAGGGUUGGACGGACAGGAGGGGGAUGCCUAAUGCCGCUCCCUCCGAUAGGGGAGCGCCAAUUAGGCGCCCUGUUUGGGUCCAAGAAGAAUUUUCCCUCUCUCUAUAUAUGUACACGUAUUUGUAUAUAUAUGCAUGUCACGCACAUAUAUUCACAAAGCCACGCACUCGGAUAUAAAAAUACUGACGAAGUAAGGACAUUUUUAAGUGCUCUGAACGGAGUAAACAAAUUUCAUAUCAAAGCAGUUCUCAUACAAGUAUGAAUAAAUAAUUUUGUAUGUAUAGAUUACUGUAUCACAAAAAUUGGCCAGAAAUCUCACAUUUGAACCCCAUGUGAUUGAAAAAAAGGGCCAAAAAAUUCCGCACCCACCUCUUGCGAUGAGUUUUCUAUUGCAUUUCUGUGUAAUGACUUUCCGUACACAUAGAAAUGCCCUAUAAGUAUUGCUCGCUAACGUCAGUUAGCCUUCCGUGUUUCCAACUUCCAGUAAAAUUAAAUUUUUAUACGAACUUCACUCGACAUUUUUUGUUUUUUUUAUUCUUUUUCCUGCUCACACCUCUACUUGCUUAAAAAGGCACCAAAAAGCAGCCAUCUGCAAUUUGUCAAGUCAUGGCGAUUUUGCUGAGAUUUGACAUUUACGAAGGACGUGAGUUACAAUAAUGGCUACUUGGUGAAGAAACACAGACACACANNN
rnacentral:lncRNA from 1 species